AAUAUACUCCCUACGUCUAGAAACAUUUGUCGGAGAAACGGAUGUUUUUGGACCUUUUUAGUUCUAAAUACAUCCAUUAUAUCUAGUUUUCCGACAAAUAUUUUUGGAAGGAGGAAGUAUUUU
rnacentral:pre_miRNA from 1 species